CCUACGGGGGGCUGCAGUGGGGAAUAUUGCACAAUGGGCGCAAGCCUGAUGCAGCCAUGCCGCGUGUGUGAAGAAGGCCUUCGGGUUGUAAAGCACUUUCAGCGGGGAGGAAGGCGUUAAGGUUAAUAACCUUGGCGAUUGACGUUACCCGCAGAAGAAGCACCGGCUAACUCCGUGCCAGCAGCCGCGGUAAUACGGAGGGUGCAAGCGUUAAUCGGAAUUACUGGGCGUAAAGCGCACGCAGGCGGUCUGUCAAGUCGGAUGUGAAAUCCCCGGGCUCAACCUGGGAACUGCAUUCGAAACUGGCAGGCUAGAGACUUGUAGAGGGGGGUAGAAUUCCAGGUGUAGCGGUGAAAUGCGUAGAGAUCUGGAGGAAUACCGGUGGCGAAGGCGGCCCCCUGGACAAAGACUGACGCUCAGGUGCGAAAGCGUGGGGAGCAAACAGGAUUAGAUACCCGAGUAGUC
rnacentral:rRNA from 1 species